ensembl:lncRNA
AAUGUAUCUAACUAACUAUUCAUUUCCACGUUUGUUAAUACUAGAAUUGGUGUGGCUAGUUGAUAACCAUAAACCAGAAGUUAAUGUAACUCAGUAGGGUGAGCUGUUAUUUUGAAAGGCAAGAAGUGUUAGCCUAGAUUUGGGCCUGCUGCUAUUUUGAAAGGCAAGAAGUGUUAGCCUAGAUUUUGGCCUGCUGCUAUUUUGAAAGGCAAGAAGUGUAAGCCUUGAUUUUGGCCAAUGACAGACAUUUCACAUUUAGCUCUACCCACAAGAGAAACAUCGACAUAUCAAUUUUAAGUUAAAGUUUAUCUUAAUUUUUUUUUUACAAAAAAUAUAAUUCCAUUUUUCAAAUAAAAAUAAAUAAACUGAUUAACAAGCCUGUUUCUGCUUGUUUUGUUUUGACGGGACAAGGAAUUAUACCUUAUACAGUCUAUGAAUUAUACUCACGGAUUCUUAUCUCCCUGAAUCUCUGAUCAUAACGUAGCAAGAGUAGAAUCUGACAACAACUCAUAUUCACAGAGGUUUUUGGUGCACAAUGGAGACAACCUCCCGAGUUAGCAGACGUUGAUGGGAUUGGUGGAAAUCAUUGGAGCGAAACACGAUGGCUGAAGUGGUGAUUUCUGACAGCGACAGCGACUUGGAAUCGGCAACCCCUCUGAAGCCUCGACCCAAACGGCGUCGUAUCAUCGAUCCAUCCUCAAUUACCACUGUGCCCAUCUACUCAAACAAGGUGAACAGCAGCUUACAGCUGAACCCAACGGUCUUCACAUGUGAUGUUGAUGCAGGUAUAAACUACAGACAGACAUUGGGUGUGUUCAAGCAGUAAGCCUAAGGUAGCAGACUAGACAUAAUAUUGGCAAGUAAAGUCAGGGGCGGCGCAUAUGCCACAGCCCUAAUGUAAAGCACUGAUCAUUAUGGCAGUGUCAUCAUUGCUGUUUGAAACAGGAACCACUUCCAAACACAUUUGCA